AACAAACGCUGGCGGCGUGCCUAAUACAUGCAAGUCGAACGGGGAAAGCUUUCGGGUGAGUACUAGUGGCGCACGGGUGAGUAACGCGUGGAUAAUCUGCCUUAGAGUGGGGGAUAACUAGUCGAAAGAUUAGCUAAUACCGCAUAAGACCACAAGAACUGCGGUUCAAGGGGUCAAAGGUUUUUCGCUCUAAGAUGAGUCCGCGUAAGAUUAGCUAGUUGGUGAGGUAAUGGCUCACCAAGGCGACGACCUUUAACUGGUCUGAGAGGAUGAUCAGUCACACUGGAAAUGAGACACGGUCCAGACGCCUACGGGAGGCAGCAGUAGGGAAUAUUGCACAAUGGAGGAAACUCUGAUGCAGCGACGCCGCGUGAGUGAUGAAGGCCUUCGGGUCGUAAAGCUCUGUCGCAGGGGAAUAACACAAUGAAGGUACCCUGUAAGAAAGGAUCGGCUAACUUCGUGCCAGCCGCCGCAGUAAUAC
rnacentral:rRNA from 1 species